UGCUUUAGUUUUAAUCUCUCUGCCGUGCGAAGCAAUCCCCAUCACUCACCUCUCUCCAUCUCCGCUACUUCUCUUCCUCAACCGAAGCCCACACACUCCACUCACGCCAGCGAAGAUCCCUGCAGCAGCUCCACCGAGUCCAACGUCUUCAAGCCGUGCAUAUCGUGGAGUCCACGAAGACAGCGUCCAUGAGCAGCUCCUCGCCAACGUUUUCAUCAUUUCGACGCCACGAAAGCUCCUGUUCCGUGUCUCCACUUCACGGAGCUUCAGUCCACCGCAUCUGCUUGAAGACGCCGAGGCAGCACCGAAGCAGCUCCGUGCCACGUUUUCAGUCAACCUUGCUGCCUCUCGGACGACCGGUUGACCUACGCUCAGCCAACAUGCGACAGCUGCUUCCUUCAAGUGUUGUCCAGCACUGAAGACCGAAGUCCUCUCAGCCUCCACGCAUCCGACUUGCUCUGUGGGUCAAACUCCAGCAACAAGCUUCGGUUUGUUGACCGAAGACCCCACGACGCCAACGAGGAAGCCCAGCAACCUUCUUCUUCAGCCACGCGUCCAAGCUGCAGCUUCCACGGUCAACUCCAGCAAGAACCGUCCCACCUUGUUGACCUCGUGAAGCUGCCACGUUGGUGCCCAUGCACUCCAUGAAGACCCCAAGCUGCUUCCUCGUCCAUUGAUGUCCAUGAAGACCGAAGCUGCUUUGGUGAACAGAAGCCAGCUACUGAAGCUGGGUUGGUUUUCGUCUUCUUCGUCCAGCAGCAAACGAGGCACUUGCAGCACGCCUCAUCCGAGUUUCUCUCCCAGCUCGUCAGUCCACGCACCUUCAAUUUCGGUAGCCCAGUGACCGAAGCUGCUUCCGUCCUCUUUGUGGCCCAUCUCUUCACUUUCGGGCCCAACCAAAUUCAGUCCAACGUGCAGUCCAGUUCAGCCUUUGUAGGUCAUUUGGGUCGCAAAUCAGGCCCAGCAGAUUCAGCUCCGAAGCCCAGCAAAGCCAGCAGUUUCAGCCUAAGAGAUCAGCCCAUUCUUGCAGUCUUCAAGCCCAAUUGAAAAUUCACAGCAACAGGCCCAUCCAGUUCAGCUUAUUCAAUUGAAUUGAAGCCCAAAUUUUCCAGCACUUGAAGCCCAAAUCAGUGAGGUCCAGCAGCCCGCUUUGCAAGCCCAGUCCAAGAGCAAGCCCAUUCCAGUGCAAGAACAAAUCUCAUUUGGACUGAGAUUUGUUGGGCCAAGGUCAAGGCCCGGUCCAAGUUCGCCGGUGUUGUCGAAAGUCCUAUUUCGCCGCCGUCGCGUCGCCGUUGCGGUGAUUCGGUCUCCGUUUUGUCAAGACCCUGAGGAAAAGCUGAGGAGGAAGAACCUGAAGGGGAGAAAGUAUUUUGAAGUAGAAGAUGAUCCAGAGAGGGAUCUUGAAAAUAACCCAGAUGUGGAUUGGGAUCCCAUCCCUUUUGUGAACCCUGUUUCAGUGUAGAUAGGUGUCAGACUUUUAUGCUGUAAAUAGUAUUGCAAUAUGCUAUGAGUUGAGUUGUUAAUGAAAGUGUGGUUAUGAAUUUUCAAUAUGAAAAAUAUGGCCUACUUUCCUA